CACUAUGUUGUCCCUUCCACCAUGUUACUAACUAGUAACUUUCUAUUGAAUUAUCUUCAUUUCGGCGAUACGUUGUAAAAGGGGUCAGUGUAGAAAAAGGGUAUGGACGGUAUGGACAAUAGGCUUUACGGAGACGGUAAGAUUAAGUGAGGCGUGAUUGCAACAUGGAGGAGCAAGGACAGGGCUUGCGACAAAGAGAGAGAGAGAAAGAGAGAGAGUGUAUGUGUGUAUGUGCUAUGUGCUGUGUGUACGCGCGCGCGUGCGUGUGUGAUGUGUAACGUGACGACGGAGCCGUCGUCGUCAGCGGACAAGCAAGCAAGCAGAAGCUAGCAGUUAGCACAGUCUUCCUUGUCUUACUAAACGGACGGACGUCGCUUGAAUAAACGUACUUGUUCCUCGUGGGAUUAAUGCAAUGGUCAAUUGUCAACAUUCAUUGGUGCACAAAAUAUGCCAUUGAGUGCUUGUCUCGUAUUUUCCGCAGGAGCGAAAACGAUCGGUCGCGGUGAAGUCGAAUCGGCGAGAUAAGGAGGUAGAAACAGAGAAAGAAAGAGUGAGAGAGAGAGAGAAAGAGAGAGAGAGAGAGAG